ensembl:lncRNA
CUUUGUUGUCUGUGCAGCGCUCCAUUUCUCUCUCUUUCUCGCUUACUCAGAAAAUGACAGGAAGUGUAAAAGGAAGGGAAGUUGCUUCUCGCUUUGUGUACGUGUUUUGAAAUGUUGCGGCCAGCCUCUUCUUAAAUUACGAACUCUAUCGUGAGAACAUCAAAAAGUCCAGCGACGGCUUCUCUGAUGGGCAGCGGCACGAGUGUGAAUGGAUGUGUUUGCUGAAAACUCGAGAGGGAAGAAGACACCACGCGCCACGAGUCAUGCCUGUGCCAGUGUGAACAAGUACCUGUGCCUGAGCGCGCGCGUGUGUGUGUGUGCGUGAUCUUAUGGUACAACCAUGGCAAGAGCAGCACUUACUAAACUUCUUCUCCUCGUGAUUCUUGCCUUCAUCAUCUGCCUCCCGGAAUUUUUCACAUUUUACCAAGUAACAAAAGUGAACUUCUUCUGCCUUCCCUACCGACCCUGCGAACAAGGAAAUCAGGUGAAAGAGGGAGAAAAUGGAAAGGCUGGAAAUGAUGACGCUAAGAGAGGCCAUAUGUGUGACCCAUCUCAGACUCCAGAUCAGGAAAAAUGGGAGCAAGCGUGCAUACGAGAAGAUCAAAGCAAUACAACAGAUUCGGCUUCAGACGUCAGGCGAGGCAGAGAUGAUCCAAAAGCGAGGUGGUUCAUGUGUGAGACAGACAUGGAAAUGGCAGAAGUACACAGAAAUAUCUCAACUUCAGCUUACGAGUCACAUCUGGAGGUGUCAGCCGAGCUUCAUCUGCCCAACGCAGAGACCCUGAAUCUCACCUUGUACGGCCGCAGCAAUCACAGUUCCUUACACCUCUACCCACCUGAGGAGGAGGAGGAGGAGGAGGAGGAAAAUAAGGGUGGUGAUGAAGGACAGAGGAAGGCAUUCUACUGCUGUCUCCCUUUCCUGCCCAACUCUGAAUCGCCCAAUCAAAGCCGCUGUCUCCUUUGGUUCGCCAAUCAAACGGUUUGGAAUUCAACAGCAAAGGAAAAGCUGCCAUGGAAACGGACACAGAAAGAUGAGUGGCAGUGUGCGCUCAGAGUGGUCUGGCUGGCUCUGCUGUGUUUGGUGUUGCUGAGUAUAGUAACGAGUGUGAUCGGACAAAUCUACAAGAAAAGGCGUUUGUGCAGGAAGCCGAAGGUGCACCCUGAUGGCUUCAACUUAAUUACUCAGCAAUUAAAUGACGGUGCCAAAGAAACAGAAGUCAGCCCUCCUGAAGGGACAAACCUCCACUUAUACGGGUUUCAUACCUGGUCAGGUCAGUCCUUUUAAUCAGUCAGCAUCAUUUAAUGGAUCUGUUGUUUCACUGCUUUCACCACGUUAAUCUUUUUCUUUUUUUUUACCAAAAUGGAUAGGGCUCUCACCAAUUAAAGAAGUUGACAGUCAAAGUAGGUACACACACAUGCACCUUUUAGAAAAAUGAGUCAGAUCACAAACACACGUUCUGAUUGUCCUCACGUAUACUUUUCAGAUGACAUAUCAAUGUUAAUGGAUGGAAAUGCUGACCACUGCUAUACUGGUAAAGUCUUUACUGGAACAAUUGUACAGGUUCAAAGAGAAAGCUGUUGGUGGUUAUGACCACCAAUAGCUGGUUGAUGACUUUCAGAUACUCUUGCACGCAUUCAAGACUUAACUUGGCGCCUCUUCAUGCAACCAAAGUUUGAUUAAUUAUAUGCGGUUUAGUUUUUAGAUGCUAUGGGUCGGCCUUUAGUCCUGUCCUUACCAGCGUAUUGCUGGAUACGUUAUUUGAAACUGCUGCACGGUUGGGAACCACAUCGCCCUUCAUUUUCAUACGUGUGUGGUAAUCUGCGAAUGGUGCUACGAGAGCUCAAAAACUCCAAAGUGUAGCUUUAAAUAUGAUGGACUUAAUGCAUAAAUACAAAAAGUAUACCAAUGUGUAGCUAAUUAUCAUUGAAUUGUUUGCUGUAUUAGGCUGUUCUCUUUACGUAAAACGUAAACAUAAGGUCAGAGGUUAAAUGUGAUGUGAUAUUUGGAUGUAAAUUAUAAUGUGAUAUUUAGAAUACACAUACACCAGUAUCAUUUCCUAAAUGUUGCCAAUACAAACAAAGGCAGUCGUAAAGUUAAAAGACAUUUUAUGAUGUUUGACCUUAUAAAAUACACACAACACUUAUAAGAAUCAUAGUUUCUAAGUUAUAAGGCUUUUUGGUAAUUUUGGACCUAUACAUCAUUAUUUUGACAUUGAGGAUUGUGGUUGAUGUGAGCCAAAUUUUGAAUGGAUUGUUAACACGACUCCAUUCUAAAUAAAAAACGUAAAGUUUUAUCGGAAUUCAUUCAAAACUUUUUGAGUUAUGGUGUUUACAGACAGAACGGCAUGCACACUUCCAAAAACGUAAUCUUCCAGGCGGAGUUAAUCGUCAAAAAAUUCAUCUCAGUAGACAAUUACUGCAGAGUAUCAACACAUCAGAACCCUUUUAAAAUGUCAUCUAACAGUGUGCUUGGUGCCUUUUUUCUGUUGUCUUUAGGUUUUCUGCAUCAUCGCAGCCAUCCCUCCGUCAGCUCCAUCAAAGAUGAGCCUGCUCGAUGACAGGCGAGCAGCCGGAGGAAGCUGGAGGAAAACAGCCGCCUCAUUUACCAGCAUUACUAAUGGUGAAAAUAAAGAUAUCUGAACCACCUA